rnacentral:ncRNA from 1 species
UGUAAGUUUGAAUCUGGCUUUAUAAUCAGUUAUCUACUAAGAAUAAAGUGCGUGUAAAAUCUAAUUCUCCCCAGAAUACUUUAAAAAAAAUAACGUAAACCUGUUUUAUUUUUUCUCUGCCCACAGCAACAAAUAUUGUGAAGCCAUUUAACAGAUGGGCCCAACUAUAGUAGAACAGAGUAGGGCACGCUCGAUGCCAGCAGCCGCGGUUAGAUCUACUUACUCAAGCUGAUAACUCCGGAAAAGUGAAAUUUACCUUUAUCUAUUUCAAUAAAACUGAUUUAAAACUAACUUUAUUUAGGAAUAAAAUCCAAAUUAAUAUUUAUUACUCAGCCUUUUUCAGAGAAACCCCUUCACGAAAGUCUACACAAAAACAAGGAUUAGAGACCCUUCUAUUGUUGACCAUAAAAUAAAGCUAUCCAGGACAUUAUUGUCACAUGGCAUAAACCCAAAGAUCUUGGCGGUAUCUUAUACUACUCAGGGGAGCCUGUUAUUGAAACUGAUGAUCCGCAUUACUCCCUACCUUUUCUUGACUUAAAACAGCUUAUACAUCGCCGUCGAAAAUUUACCUCAAAAAGUAUAAUAGUAUUAGGUUUUGUGAACUCACUCUUCCUUACGUCAGGUCGACAUGUAGCUUAUGAAAAGGAAUAAUGGGCUACAAUUCUUUAAUGUAAUGGAAUUUCUAUUAAAACAGAAAUUAAAAUUGGACUUGAAAGUAAACUUUGAGUUCUAAACACUCAAUUGAAUAUGUUAACUAAGAUGUGUACAAAUCGCCCGUCGCCCCCGCCGAAAGGUGGGGUAAGUCGUAACAUAGUAGGCGUAGCGGAAGCUGUGCCUA